AAGUCGUAACAAGGUAACCGUAGGUGAACCUGCGGUUGGAUCAUUAAAAAGAUCUUAGCCUGCACCCUUCUUGUGGACUGCUUGCGGGCCACAACCAGGGACGAGGCUAAAUUCCCCCGAAAUGGGAAUAACAUCAUGUGAACUGUUCUGUCUCUGGCGGUGGGAUGGCUUAAACACCAUCUGUCAGCAUCCGAGGUCUUCCUCGGUGUGCCGUGGACAAGCCGCCAACGGUGUAUGUUUCAUACAAACUUUUUGUUUCAUUAAAACUGUCUGACCUACUUUUGUAUCUAAAAUAUACAAAAACAACUUUUGGCAACGGAUCUCUUGGCUCCC
rnacentral:misc_RNA from 1 species